rnacentral:rRNA from 1 species
GACGUAGGAGGCGAGCGUUGUCCGGAAUUAUUGGGCGUAAAGAGCUCGUAGGCGGUGUGUCGCGUCGGCCGUGAAAACCUGCAGCUUAACUGUGGGCUUGCGGUCGAUACGGGCAUCACUGGAGUUCGGCAGGGGAGACUGGAAUUCCUGGUGUAGCGGUGAAAUGCGCAGAUAUCAGGAGGAACACCGGUGGCGAAGGCGGGUCUCUGGGCCGAUACUGACGCUGAGGAGCGAAAGCGUGGGGAGCGAACAGG